rnacentral:rRNA from 1 species
UGGGGGAUAUUGCACAAUGGGCGAAAGCCUGAUGCAGCGACGCCGCGUGGGGGAUGAAGGCUUUCGGGUUGUAAACCUCUUUCGCUAUCGAACAAGGCCCGCUUAGGGUGGGUUGAGGGUAGGUGGAGAAGAAGCGCCGGCUAACUACGUGCCAGCAGCCGCGGUAAUACGUAGGGCGCGAGCGUUGUCCGGAAUUAUUGGGCGUAAAGGGCUUGUAGGCGGCUUGUUGCGCCUGCUGUGAAAACGCGGGGCUUAACUUCGCGCGUGCAGUGGGUACGGGCAGGCUUGAGUGUGGUAGGGGUGACUAGAAUUCCAGGUGUAGCGGUGGAAUGCGCAGAUAUCUGGAGGAACACCGAUGGCGAAGGCAGGUCACUGGGCCAUUACUGACGCUGAGGAGCGAAAGCAUGGGUAGCGAACAGG